rnacentral:rRNA from 1 species
CCUACGGGAGGCAGCAGUGAGGAAUAUUGGUCAAUGGGCGCGAGCUUGAACCAGCCAAGUAGCGUGCAGGAUGACUGCCCUACGGGUUGUAAACUUCUUUUAUAAAGGAAUAAAGUGAGGCACGUGUGCCUUUUUGUAUGUACUUUAUGAUUAAGGAUCGGCUAACUCCGUGCCAGCAGCCGCGGGAAUACGGAGGAUCAGAGCGUUAUCUGGAUUUAUUGGGUUUAAAGGGAGCGUAGAUGGGUGGUUAAGUCAGUUGUGAAAGUUUGCGGCUCAACCGUAAAAGUGCAAUUGAUACUGGCAGUCGUGAGUACAGUUGAGGUAGGCGGAAUUCGUGGUGUAGCGGUGAAAUGCUUAGAUAUCACGAAGAACUCCGAUUGCGAAGGCAGCUUACGAAACUGCCACUGACAUUGAUGCUCGAAAGUGUGGGUAUCAAACAGGAUUAGAUACCCUGGUAGUC